UACGUAGGAUGCAAGCGUUGUCCGGAUUUACUGGGCGUAAAGCGCGCGCAGGCGGCACAGUAAGUAAGGUGUGAAAUAUCCCUGCUCAACGGGGAGGGUGCACUUUAGACUGCUGAGCUUGAGGUCGGUAGAGGGGGGUGGAAUUGCUGGUGUAGCGGUGAAAUGCGUAGAGAUCAGCAGGAACACCCGUGGCGAAGGCGGCCCCCUGGGCCGUACCUGACGCUGAGGCGCGAAGGCUAGGGGAGCGAACGGGG
rnacentral:rRNA from 1 species